CAAUGUGAUGGCGAUUUGGCUGUGACAUCGAUCAUCUCAUUGAUUACCAGGGUUGAUUCAGCUGAUCUGGCUGGCUAGGUGGGUGUUGCCUCCCUUACUGCUCCAAGUGUGUUCCUCCCAAAGCUGCACAUUCAGUUGAAGUGACGAACCAUACCAGAAUAGAGACCACUGGUCUUGGGCCAAGGGUAUAAGAGUAGCAAUGCUUCCCUGCUACAACCUCCAAGCUCUCAAAAGACUGCAUUAAAAAAUGAAUAUAUAUUUGCUAUUUUGUGAUUGUUCUAUGUUAGAAUGUCACCUGCUAA
rnacentral:snRNA from 1 species